rnacentral:tmRNA from 1 species
GGGGGUGAAACGGCUUCGACGGGGUUGAGAAAGGCUUUGGAGGCAACCCGGCAUUGUACCGCCGUAAUGGGCUAAAAUCAUAAUUGCCAACGACGAGCAUUACGCUCCAGUUCUUGCUGCGGCUUAGUCCGUAGCGGAACGGGGUCUUGAUUCAGGCCCGGCAACAGAAGUCUUAAAGCAGGAUCGCGCCGGAAAUAUGAAGGCCGGUUUAAAUCCAGGGUCAUCCAGUAUUCCGAGGUAACGGAAGUCCCAAGGCGCGCUGAUCCAUUGGCUGCGGGACUAUAGAUCGGCAAAAUGGUUGUGAUUCCUCCCGGUUGAUUACUGAUUUCGGACGCGGGUUCAACUCCAGCCACCUCCACCA